CUUUAUUCUUUCAGCUUCGAUAGAUCAGUCACCCUCCAUCAGGAACAGGUGGAUUGAGUCCAAUCUUUUACUGGUCCCAGGUGAACUUGAUAAACAUAUGGUCCAUUGUGAAGGGAUCUUGUUUUGCGAUAUCUGAUUGUGUUUGUAAUGGCUUCUUCACCUAGCUAUUUGCCUAUUCCAGUGGCCAUUACAAAGAAUUAUGCUGAGUGUCAUUUUUGGUUUUUGGAGUUGACAGAAGCCAUGGCUCAAAA